rnacentral:rRNA from 1 species
UACGGAGGGGGCUAGCGUUGUUCGGAAUUACUGGGCGUAAAGCGCACGUAGGCGGCUUUGUAAGUUAGGGGUGAAAGCCCGGAGCUCAACUCCGGAAUAGCCUUUAAGACUGCAUCGCUAGAACGUUGGAGAGGUAAGUGGAAUUCCGAGUGUAGAGGUGAAAUUCGUAGAUAUUCGGAAGAACACCAGUGGCGAAGGCGACUUACUGGACAACUGUUGACGCUGAGGUGCGAAAGCGUGGGGAGCAAACAGG